rnacentral:rRNA from 1 species
CGGCGUGGGCAACCUGCCUCAUACAGGGGGAUAGCAUCGGGAAACUGGUGGUAAAACCGCAUAAGCGCACGAAGACGCAUGUAUUCGUGUGAAAAGGAGAAAUCUGGUAUGAGAUGGACCCGCGUCUGAUUAGCUAGUUGGAGUGGUAAAAGCACACCAAGGCGACGAUCAGUAGCCGGCCUGAGAGGGUGGACGGCCACAUUGGGACUGAGACACGGCCCAGACUCCUACGGAAGGCAGCAG